AGAGUUUGAUCCUGGCUCAGGACGAACGCUGGCGGCGUGCUUAACACAUGCAAGUCAGGGGGCGGGGCUUCGGCCCUGUCACCGGCGAACGGGUGCGGAACACGUGAGCGACCUGCCCUGGUGUGGGGGAUAGCCGGCCCAACGGCCGGGUAAUACCGCAUACGGCGCCCGCUUGGAAGCGGGAGGCGAAACUCGCAAGAGGCGCUAGGAGGGGCUCGCGGCCUAUCAGCUAGUUGGGGGGGUAACGGCCUCCCAAGGCGAUGACGGGUAGCUGGUCUGAGAGGAUGGCCAGCCACAUUGGGACUGAGAGACGGCCCAGACUCCUACGGGAGGCAGCAGUGGGGAAUAUUGCGCAAUGGGCGAAACCUGACGCAGCGACGCCGCGUGGAGGAUGAGGCCUUCGGGGUGUAAACUCCUGUUGCCCGGGACGAAUGCCCAGUAUGGACUGGGUUGACGGUACCGGGUGAGGAAGCACCGGCUAACUCUGUGCCAGCAGCCGCGGUAAUACAGAGGGUGCGAGCGUUGUCCGGAAUUACUGGGCGUAAAGGGCGCGUAGGUGGCGGGUCACGCGUGCCGUGAAAGCCCGGGGCUCAACCCCGGGUCGGCGGUGCGAACGGGCUCGCUGGAGCGUACGAGAGGCAGGCGGAAUUCCGGGUGUAGCGGUGGAAUGCGUAGAGAUCCGGAAGAACACCGGUGGCGAAGGCGGCCUGCUGGCGUACGGCUGACACUGAGGCGCGACAGCGUGGGGAGCAAACAGGAUUAGAUACCCUAGUAGUCC
rnacentral:rRNA from 1 species